rnacentral:rRNA from 1 species
UGUUCCCCUGGUCUCAGGACGAACGCUGGCGGCGUGCCUAAUACAUGCAAGUCGAGCGAACAGAGAAGAAGCUGGCUCCUUUGACGUUAGCGCCGACCGGGUGAGUAACACGUGGGCAACCUACCUUAUAGUUUGGGAUAACUCCGGGAAACCGGGGCUAAUACCGAAUAAUCUGUUCCACCUCAUGGUGGAACACUGAAAGACGGUUUCGGCUGUCGCUAUAAGAUGGGCCCGCGGCGCAUUAGCUAGUUGGUGAGGUAACGGCUCACCAAGGCGACGAUGCGUAGCCGACCUGAGAGGGUGAUCGGCCACACUGGGACUGAGACACGGCCCAGACUCCUACGGGAGGCAGCAGUAGGGAAUCUUCCACAAUGGGCGAAAGCCUGAUGGAGCAACCCGCGUGAGUGAAGAAG